GGUCUCUCCCGGACAUCGAUCGGGAAACGUAAAAACUGGUCAAAGCCGGCAUUGGGCGAACUUCCGGCCGGCUGCGGCGGUUAUCAUGCCGUCCCCCCGAUCGAGACUCACCAUAUAUCGUCGAUGCAUGCGCCGUUAUUCUAUCCUCUUUCUGAUUCUUCUUUCGAUCUCCACUCUCACGGCACAGCAGCCUGAUGGGCGUCGUCUGUCGAUUUCCGGCAGUGUCAUCGAUGCGACCACGCGCAGGCCGCUGGCGGGCGCGACGAUCCGUGUUGUCGAUACACGACGCGGGGCGAUCGCCGGUGCCGACGGGCGGUUCGAGAUCUACGAUCUGGAGCCGGCGACAUACCAGCUGCAGAUCUCGCUGG
rnacentral:misc_RNA from 1 species